UAUGAGGUCGAGUGCCUGUAUCUGCACUUUUUUUCGCGAGACGUUUUUACCUUCUACUGCGCGCGGUGGGCCGGCCCAUGGGGUGCGGCAUGCGAGCGCCAGCUGCCUGAACCGGCGCUUAAGGCGCCGGUUAGGAGCUCCCCCAAACGCAUUUAGAAAAAAACAAAGCGAUGCGUUAGUGGGCCCCAUCAGACGUGAUCUAUGGGCCGAGCAGAUUACACCAGACUUAUCGUACACAUUUCUCUCGAUCCUGGGCCGGUCGCCUGCGAGCCACGACGAUCGGGUCUCAAAAAAAAAAAGGGGGGAGCGACGACGAUCCAACGGCACGGGUCGGCCGGGCGCCUCUGCGAAACCCUAACCACCAGCGAAGAGGGACCUUCUUCCCCGCGCCGCCACCUCCCGUCUCAACAGUGAUUACUGAUGGGAAAUCCCCUCCUAUACACCCAUAGAAUCUGAGCACCAACAAACAAUAUUUUUCUUGGAUUCCUCUGAUCCAAACAUGAAGAUGCACCGCGCAUGCAAAAUCUGUGGAGAAAUAGGACACACCGAUAAGGAACACCAGGAUGGAUGCCCCUAUUGUGAAGCGAGCCACUUGGGUGAAGAAUGUCCCACUACGCAAGUCACCUGUUUCAUGUGUGAAGGGACUAACCACAAUCCAGCCCAGUGUCGUCUACUCACCACGACACAAGUGGUUCAGCAACAGAGGAAAGGAAUGAAGGAAGCUAUCCAGGAAUUCAUGGCAGCACCCAUGAAGAAAAGGAAGAAGAGGCGCUACGCCAAGAAGUGUAGAACAAGGGGCACUGUGCCAACGCGUGUCCAGAACUGAAAGGAGAGAGAAAGAUGGGGGCGCUACUCCAGCCCUUGUCCAGAAUUGAAAAGAGGGAGAGGGAGAUGGGAACCUUGGAGCAAAGAAGCCCCAUGACUUGUCAGGAGUAGUUUGUUUGAUACUCUUCCUUUCUGUAAGAAUUCAUUCAGUACACUAUUCCAGGGGAGCCAAUGUUAGUAAUUGGAGGACAGCUAUCUGAGGCAAGCAAUAAGUGUAUUAGGAAACUUUUUACGUUAUCUUGGAGAUGCUGGGUUGAUACGUGCAAUGUCAAUGGAAGAGGCUAUACGUUUCCUGUGUUGUAAUUGCUAUUUCUUUUGUGAGCAGAAUAUGACUAAUGGGUCCUUGCGCGGUG